rnacentral:rRNA from 1 species
AGGACGAACGCUGGCGGCGUGCUUAACACAUGCAAGUCGAGCGGAAAGGCCCUUCGGGGUACUCGAGCGGCGAACGGGUGAGUAACACGUGGGCAAUCUGCCCCUCGCUCUGGGAUAACUCCGGGAAACCGGGGCUAAUACCGGAUAUGACCUUCUUAGGCAUCUUUGAAGGUGGAAAGUUUUUCGGCGAGGGAUGAGCCCGCGGCCUAUCAGCUUGUUGGUGGGGUAAUGGCCUACCAAGGCAGUGACGGGUAGCCGGCCUGAGAGGGCGACCGGCCACGACUGGGACUGAGACACGGCCCAGACUCCUACGGGAGGCAGCAGUGGGGAAUAUUGCGCAAUGGGCGGAAGCCUGACGCAGCGACGCCGCGUGAGGGAUGACGGCCUUCGGGUUGUAAACCUCUUUCAGCUCUGACGAAGCGAGAGUGACGGUAGGAGCAGAGAAGCACCGGCCAACUACGUGCCAGCAGCCGC